ACUCAAAUGAAUUGACGGGGACCCGCACAAGCAGCGGAGCAUGUGGUUUAAUUCGAAGCAACGCGAAGAACCUUACCAGGGCUUGACAUCCCUCUGACCGGUAUAGAGAUAUACCCUUUUCUUCGGAAACAGAGGAGACAGGUGGUGCAUGGUUGUCGUCAGCUCGUGUCGUGAGAUGUUGGGUUAAGUCCCGCAACGAGCGCAACCCUUGUCUUUAGUUGCUAACAGUAUAGCUGAGCACUCUAGAGAGACUGCCGGUGAUAAACCGGAGGAAGGUGGGGAUGACGUCAAAUCAUCAUGCCCUUUAUGUCCUGGGCUACACACGUGCUACAAUGGUCGGUACAAUGGGCAGCAACCUAGCGAUAGAUAGCCAAUCCCAUAAAGCCGAUCCCAGUUCGGAUUGCAGGCUGCAACUCGCCUGCAUGAAGCCGGAGUUGCUAGUAAUCGUGGAUCAGAAUGCCACGGUGAAUGCGUUCCCGGGUCUUGUACACACCGCCCGU
rnacentral:rRNA from 1 species